GACACUAUUUUAAUAUUCAAAGCUACUGAGCGCUACAAUGAAGCUGACCCUACUGACGGUGCUGUUUUCUGUUUUCUCACGGUCGUGUGCUGCUGAUCCCGUCCUGCAGGUGCGAGGAACGGGGCACUGUAUUGACCAGAACCACAAUGAGAUGGAUUACGAGUGUUUGAAGUAUAUGUGGGAUUUCUACUAUCUGGAGAGGGCUGCAGAUAGUUGGGUAGCCUGUGGUACAUACCUCUCCUCCUUCAGUACCAAGAAGUAUCCUGCCAGUAACAAGUGUUUGGUGUAUCGGAGUAAGUGUAACGAUCUUGAUAACGAUAAGCCGUGCUGCAAAUCUAUUCACUGUCAUCUCUGGUUAAUGGGGAGAAGACCGUCGUAAGAAUCUUAAUACCGACGUGAUGCCCAUAUAAGGAGUCCCACGUGAUGCCCAUAUAAGGAGUCCCACGUGAUGCCCAUAUAAGGAGUCCCACGUGAUACCCAUAUAAGGAGUCCCACGUGAUACCCAUAUAAGGAGUCCCACGUGAUACCCAUAUAAGGAGUCCCACGUGAUACCCAUAUAAGGAGUCCCACGUGAUACCCACAUAAGGAGUCCCACGUGAUACCCAUAUAACUAUAUAAGGAGUCCCACGUGAUACCCAUAUAAGGAGUCCCACGUGAUACCCAUAUAAGGAGUCCCACGUGAUGCCCAUAUAAGGAGUCCCACGUGAUGCCAAUAUAAGGAGUCCCACGUGAUGCCCAUAUAAGGAGUCCCACGUGAUACCCAUAUAAGGAGUCCCACGUGAUGCCCAUAUAAGGAGUCCCGCGCGAUGCCCAUAUAAGGAGUGUUUUAACAGCGUUAUUGUAAUCACCCUCACUCAGUAAAGAAACUGCAAUAGAAAUUAAUGGUGGUUUAGCUUGCAUUUUAUUUUUUGUCCUUAUUUGUUAUUUACGAGUAUUUCUGUAGAAUUGCAAAUAUUGAUUAAUCUCCAUAAAUAACCUAAUUUCCAAGUGUUAACCUUUCUAAAGUGUUAACCUUUCAAGCUCUGUGUAUUGAUUAAUUCUGUCCCGACUUUAUUUAGGCAUAUGUGAAGCUGUCAUUUACAAAUUAAGCGAUUUCGUUACCAUUUGGAUAUUUGAAAAUUAUUUGUUUGAUUGUAAUUUUGUUGAAAUUCGUCAAAUUUGCAUUAAUUUAUUUGAAAAA